UUUUGAUUGCCUGGGCUUCAUCCAGCACCAUGUAUUGCCAUUUAACACGUCUAAAGUAUUUCUCGUCAGACACUAGUAGCUGAUAACUGGUAAUGAGAAUGUGGAAUCCAGCAUCCCGACGAUAAAGACGUUUUGGGUUAAUGUUCUUUCGAAGCACCACUCGUUCUUGUAAACCUCCCCAAUAUGGAAGAGUUUUUAGAUCAG
rnacentral:misc_RNA from 1 species